GUAGGUGGCAAGCGUUGUCCGGAAUUAUUGGGCGUAAAGCGCGCGGCAGGCGGUUCUUUAAGUCUGAUGUGAAAGCCCACGGCUCAACCGUGGAGGGUCAUUGGAAACUGGAGAACUUGAGUACAGAAGAGGAAAGCGGAAUUCCACGUGUAGCGGUGAAAUGCGUAGAGAUGUGGAGGAACACCAGUGGCGAAGGCGGCUUUCUGGUCUGUAACUGACGCUGAGGCGCGAAAGCGUGGGGGAGCAAACAGGAUUAGAUACCCUGGUAGUCCACGCCGUAAACCGAUGAGUGCUAAGUGUUAGGGGGUUUUCCGCCCCUUAGUGCUGCAGCUAACGCAUUAAGCACUCCGCCCUGGGAGUACGGCCGCAAGGCUG
rnacentral:rRNA from 1 species